rnacentral:misc_RNA from 1 species
AACGCAAGUUGCGCCCGAUGCCAUUAGGCUGAAGGCACGUCUGCCUGGGCGUCACGCAUGGCGUCGCCCACUCACCCCGUGCCUCUGUGGGCGGAAGGUGUGUGAGCGGAUAUUGGCCCCCCGUUCACGUUCGUGCUCGGUCGGUCUAAAAGGAAAGUCCCCAACGACGGACAUCACGGCGAGUGGUGGUUGCCAGACCGUCCCGACGCGUCGUGCAUGCUGUUCUUUGUCGUUGGCCGGCUCAUCGACCCCCGAGUACCGUCAGGUACUCGGUACCUCGACUGCGACCCCAGGUCAGGCGGGAUCACCCGCUGAGUUUAA